rnacentral:rRNA from 1 species
UACGUAGGCAGCAAGCGUUGUUCGGAGUUACUGGGCGUAAAGGGUGUGUAGGCGGUUGGAUAAGUGUGGUGUGAAAUCUCCCGGCUCAACUGGGAGGGUGCGCUACAAACUGUCUGACUAGAGUGUGGGAUGGGAAAGUGGAAUUCCUGGUGUAGCGGUGAAAUGCGUAGAUAUCAGGAGGAACACCCGGUGGUGUAGACGGCUUUCUGGACCAUAACUGACGCUGGAGACACGAAAGCGUGGGUAGCAAACAGG